ACGUAACUUGCCUCAAUAAACGACGCAACUUCCCACAAAAAGAAGUCUCUUCUUUGUGCGUGUCGGCUCUAUUCGGGGAGGUUUAGGAUCGUCGCCAUGGACACUGCUUCCCUUUCCUUCUAAAGGUAUUCCAACGUAUGUCCCACACCGUUCAAUAUCCUCUGCCCCUUAGACACCGCUUCCCUUAUAUGCCCUUAGAGACAAGCAUUAUUACCGAUACCAUCAUCAAUUUAAUUUCGUUUUUGGUGUGUUUCUUUUCUCGAUCUCUGUCUCUUUCUUUUCUUGCUGUUAUCAGCAACGACCUUUCAAAAUCGAUGAUCAUGUGAAGCAGUAUCCCAUAUACAGCCACAACUGUAAUCGAUCGCGUCGUCUCUACCACGAAUGCCCCAAAAGGUUGGUCAUCGAUUCUCUGUGUUCUUUUCAAAAUUGACUAUGUGUUCUUCUCAAAAUUGAUGACUGUUGAUUCCUGUUACGUUUACGGUUCUAAAAUCUGCAACUGUAUGUAUUUUUAAAGAGGAUGGCCUAAAAAUUCAAAACCUAAAGACGUGAUUUUCCGUCGAAACUAGCAGCCAUAAACCUUUUUUUUCUCUGGCGCCUAGAUCGCAUUUACAGGCUUUCUUAAUGACACGUAACGUACAUCCGGAACGAUACCAUUGACAUCAAAGUCGAUUCAAACGAUUCCACUUGUCCUAAUUUCUGUUUUUUUACCAUCACACCUAUUGGAAGACGUUGCUUCCAAACGUCUUUCUUAGCAUACAUGACAAUUUUCAUGAACUCGAGGAACUAAUGCACUUCACUCUUCUCUUAUGCUCCAAUCUAUGUUUAUUCUGAUUUGCAAAAACUCUGCGACCUCAAGAGAAAAUAUGAUGGCGGUUUAGAAACUCCCACACCUUCAGUAGCAUACAAGCUGUCCAAGAGAAGAACCAUUGAAAACUUGCAGUCAUUGCAACAAAAACAAAAAUUUUUGGAAAGUGUCGCAGCCUAGCAGGGAUCUCAGUUUCUGUAAGUGUAGCAAUCGUUGAGUAAUUUCGAUGGGUUGAACACGAUGACUAUCAAAGUUGUCAGAGUCUUGGCCACUUGAGAAGCAUGAGAUUCUUUGGUCGCUGAUAAGGUUAACGUACUUAGAAUCCGUCAGAAAUGUGAUUUCCUUGUCUUAUCAACUAUCCAAGUAAAUCUAUGCAAUCAAACACUUGGUGUAAUCGAUAAAGAUUUCCUUCGGUCAUACUUUUGGGUCGUGCUUAGCACGGGCCAGAAACUUUCUAGUAUAUAUAUAUAUAUAUAUAUAUAUAUAUAUAUAUAUAUAUAUAUAUAUAUAUAUAUAUAUAUAUAUAUAUAUAUAUAUAUAAACCUUGUUUUUCUACUUCCUCCAAAAUCAAAUUUGGAGGGUUUCUUUCGUGUUUUUUGAAAUUUUGAGGAACUCUUGGAUUAGCACACCCGUUUCGGAGGAACUCUUGUUUCUCAGGUAUGUGUUUUUUAAAAUUUUGAGUUCUAAUUUGGAUAUACUCGCUUUUUGUAACACCGUAAAAAUUAAAACAAUUUUUCACAUUUGAAAACACAUUUUAACAAAACCAUUCAUUCAUAAAAUGUCAUAACAUCAUGUUUUUAUUUCACAAAUGUCUCCCAAGAUCAAAAUACAUCUAAUCCCAUGUGUGUGUACAAAUCAAGCCGGCGCCUUCCCGCGGUCAUCACUGGUACCUGAAACACAUAACACUGAACACUGUAAGCAUAAGCUUAGUGAGUUCCCCAAAAUACCACACUAAUCACAUAAUAGCCACUCGAGGCUGUAACUCUGUUGACCUUCUGGUCAAUGUGUCUCAGUGGGGCCCUCCAGCCCCAACUCUCUGUGGGCCCUCUGGCCCUAACUCUGGGGACCCGAAAGUCCCAACUCUGUAACUCUGAAUCAUGCAUAUCACAUAUCACAAUAAAUCACAUCACAUAAUAACAUGCAAUCACACUGGCAUAUAACUCUACAAUACUCUGUCUCUUAACUCUAUUACCACACUAGGUAAAGUAUAGUGGGAAGACUCACCUCGAGUAUCUCGGUAAAUCUCUGACUCGGUAAACGCUGGCCUAGCCUCCGCCUAAUCAUAUGAAAUAAACACCCUAUUUAAUAUAACUCUCAAAGGCUAGACUAUGCUCUCUUAUGACACUCUUAGAAGGGUAAAAGACCAUUUUACCCCUCUCAUAGCUGAAAGGCCCCACAAUAGACCAUACCCUAAAAGUCAACCAAAAGUCAACUCUCCGAGUUACGCUGCGCGUACCAGAUGUGUACGCUGAGCAUACCCGACUGCAUCCCAGAAUCGGGGAGCGCCACCCAGUACGCGGCGCGUACUAGGGAUUACACCCGGCGUACUCCCCUGCUUCAGCCCUAUAGCUCUUGAGGUCUUAAACAAUUAAGACCUACGUCCAUAUUUUAGAUCUGACCCCAUCUAAGCCCCUUAAUCCAUAAAGUUGAUGACUUUAAGCCUUUGCAUGGCUGAACAAGUCACCAACUCCCACAAUGAUCCAACCUUCAACUCUAGAAGGCUUAAUACACAUGCAUGACUCCAAAGUAACAUCCAAGAUGAAAACUUUAUGGCUCUAAAUCACUGAUGACACUGAAAAGGGACAGGACUCGGACCAUGGAGCACUUUACACUCAUAAAGUCUCCACCUUUGGGGUUCUUAGCCCUAAAAAGGACACAUACAUCAACAACCAAAAGAAGAGGAAAGUUUUGAACUUUAUACCUCCAAGUGUAGCCCUUUCCUCUGUAGAUCUCAAAUCCAAAAUGGCACCUCAAGCUUUAGCCUCCAAGAACUCCCUUGCUUCUUCUUCACUAAGCCACUAAAGCACCAAAAAGCUCAAAUCAACACUCUCACACACUAAGGACGAUGGGGCUCUCUUUUAGGGUUUCACUCACUGAUAUGGAGGCUGGGAAAUGAGCCAUAACACCCUUUAAAUAAUGCACAAGAUGGAUUAGGGUUUUUGCACCUGGUUCGGGUAUGCCCGGCGUAACUCUAGGUACGCCCAGCGUACCUUGGCGACUCCGCGUCCAAAUUAAGCGCAUGAGUACGCGCAGCAUACCCCUCUGGUACGCCCAGCGUACUCACUUGCUACAAUUCCUCCACUCAAGGACUAAACAUGACAAAUCAACAAAGAACAAGGAUGAAAGAAAUGCACCUGAAUCUCGAGGUGUUACACUUUUGCUAUUCAACAACACACCUAAAUUUUACCCUAAUCCUAGAAAGGCAAUUUAUUUUCAGAUUACCAUCUAAGGUGUUUAAUUAUUUUCUCAGCGAUUAUCGCUUCUAGGGAUUAUAGAUCGGUAACAAAAUCAAUGGGUAUUCUGUUUUAUGGCUCCUAAAGAUUUUUAUAUUUAGUAUGUUUCAAUCAGAGUAUUUCUUCCAUCUUCAUGCUAUGGGAGAACCGCUCUUUUAAUGUAUGUUUGAUAAUUUAGUUUGUUUUCUGCAUAAGGUUUUUGGGCUUCGAUCUUUUUCUUAUCUAUUUUUCAUAUGGAAUUGAUUAUGUUCAACCUGUGGAUAUUUUUCAAAUGGAAUUGAUGUUGUUCGACCUAUGGAUAUACUUCAAAUGGAAUUGAUGAUGUUCAACCUGGGUAUGCUCUGAAUCAUCUACAUAACGAUUCUUCCUUGGUGUCAAAGUAAAAUACAUUGCUUUUAUUUUCCCUAAAUCAGGUGUUAAAAAUAAUUAUAAUUUUUCAUGACUCUAAUUUAUGACCAACCCAUCAUCUUUACGACAGUUUUAUUGGUUUGUUAUCAGUUAUGUUCAUUUAAACUCCAAAUUUCAAUAGUCACUAAACACGAUUUCUAUGAACUACAGAGAAAUCAUGCAAUACCCAACCCUGUAAAACUAAAAAUAUUGUAUAUCGGGAAGUCUUACAAUAUGCCAACCAAAUGCAUGUUCCUACAUCCAAAAAGCAAGUUACAAUUUUUGUAAAAACUUACAUUUUUUAACAAACAAUAGGCUAUUAAUGAAAAUUUUGAGUUUAACUUUGCAAGUCAAAUAUUAUGCCAAAAAUUCAAUAAAUUACAAAAUAAUAAGAAGGUACACCCGCAAUGUUUACAACACUCAUGGUAGCACUUCAGUUCAAACCUUUGUUAUUAUUUUACAUGUAUUUAUAUUGUGGAAGGUUAAUGUAAUUCAGUGUACUAAUUUGGCAACUUUUGUAAAUAUUCAGGAUAGUGAAUUGUAAAGCUUGCAGGGGCAUGCAUGUACCAAGAAAAGUGAUAUACAACAUGGAAAGGGAAUUGUGACAAGCACAAAUGUAUCAACCAAGUAAGAUCUAGAUUUAGAGUUAGUCAAAACAUUGAAUGUGCUUAAGUAUGUGUGUAUACUUCCAUACUGCAAUAUUAGCAUCUAAUAUAUUACAUUUCGUCGAAACUCCAAUACCUCGCUUCAAUUUUAUACACAUUACAAAUCAAUGUGAUUUUUGACAGUAAAUGAGUUGUGUCGUGACCUACUUAUUUGCAACAUUAAAUUCUGAACUUAAAUGGUUUUUCAAUCAGUUUUUACUAAUUGAUAUGA